AGAAUCAACGCUGGCGGCGUGCCUAACACAUGCAAGUCGAACGAGAAAGUGGAGCAAUCCAUGAGUAAAGUGGCGACCGGGUGAGUAACACGUGACUAACCUACCUUCGAGUGGGGGAUAACCUCGGGAAACCGAGGCUAAUACCGCAUAACAUCGUGAGAUCAAAGCAGCAAUGCGCUUGGAGAGGAGUUCGCGGCAGAUUAGUUAGUUGGCGGGGUAAUGGCCCACCAAGACGAUGAUCUGUA
rnacentral:rRNA from 1 species